rnacentral:rRNA from 1 species
UUAUGUGAUCGUCUCUCGCAUAUCAAUAAGCGGAGGAAAAGAAACUAACAAGGAUUCCCCUAGUAACGGCGAGUGAAGCGGGAAGAGCUCAAAUUUGAAAUCUUAAAGGGUUUCCCUUUACGAAUUGUAGUUUAAAGAAGUGUUUUCUGUUGAGGUUUUGGUAAAAGUUCUUUGGAAUAGGACAUCAUAGAGGGUGAGAAUCCCGUAUUUGACCUUUACUUUCAACUUUGUGAUACACUUUCAAAGAGUCGGAUUGUUUGGGAAUGCAGUCCAAAAUGGGUGGUAAAUUUCAUCUAAAGCUAAAUAUUGGCGAGAGACCGAUAGCGAACAAGUACCGUGAGGGAAAGAUGAAAAGAACUUUGAAAAGAGAGUUAAACAGUACGUGAAAUUGUCAAAAGGGAAGCGUUUGACACCAGGUGUUGUUUUUCUGAAAAUCAAUUAAAGAACUGUUUAUGCUAAGCUGUUUAGACUUUAUCAGCUAUCUGUUUAGUUUUGAGCUUUUCUUUAAUGCACUUUUCAGUUAACAAGUCAACAUCAAUUUCUUUUGCUGUAAAAAAGCUUGAGGAAGGUGGCUUGAGAUUCGUCUUAAGUGUUUAUAGCCUCUUGCCUAUGCAGUCGGAGAGAUUGAGGUCUGCAGCGUAGAUCCUUCGGGGCUAAAUGCAUUUGUGCUAAGUUAUAGCAUUUUAUAGACAACUUGUUGACUAUGAUUUGUCUUGUAGCUUACUCGCUUAUGUUAUUUUACCUACGCUUAGGAUGUUGAGUAGCGACAUACGCAC